AGAGUUUGAUUCUGGCUCAGGAUGAACGCUGGCGGCGUGCCUAAUGCAUGCAAGUCGAACGACGCAUAUCGGAGGGGUAACCCACUGGUAUGACGGAGUGGCGAACGGGUGAGUAACACGUGAGCAACCUGCCCCACAGACCGGGACAGCCCAGGGAAACCUGGAUUAAUACCGGAUAUCCUCGGAGGAUCGCAUGAUCCAUCGAGGAAAUACCUUUGUGCUGUGGGAUGGGCUCGCGACUUAUCAGCUAGUUGGUGGGGUAACGGCCUACCAAGGCGUCGACGAGUAGCUGGUCUGAGAGGACGAUCAGCCACACUGGGACUGAGACACGGCCCAGACUCCUACGGGAGGCAGCAGCAGGGAAUCUUGCGCAAUGGACGAAAGUCUGACGCAGCAACGCCGCGUGGGGGAUGAAGGCCUUCGGGUUGUAAACCCCUUUCAGGAGGGAAGAAAUUGACGGUACCUCCAAAAGAAGCACCGGCCAACUACGUGCCAGCAGCCGCGGUAAUACGUAGGGUGCGAGCGUUAUCCGGAAUCAUUGGGCGUAAAGAGCUCGUAGGCGGUUCAGCAAGUCGGCUGUGAAAGUCCGAGGCUUAACCUCGGAAGUGCAGUCGAUACUGCUGUGACUCGAGUCCGGUAGAGGAGAAUGGAAUUCCCGGUGUAGCGGUGAAAUGCGCAGAUAUCGGGAGGAACACCAGUAGCGAAGGCGGUUCUCUGGGCCGGCACUGACGCUGAGGAGCGAAAGCGUGGGUAGCAAACAGGAUUAGAUACCCUGGUAGUCCACGCCGUAAACGUUGGAUACUA
rnacentral:rRNA from 1 species